AUAAAAAAUGUUUGUCUAUUGCAUUCUAAACUAUCUUUCACCGUUUCAUGAGUUCCAACAAUAGUGCAGACCAAGAUACUGAUUAUCAAAAGACAUGCCCUUAAUAAGGUGGUUAUGAGAUUGUUCAACUUCCUCUGUUAGUUUACAUUAGAAAGUUCAAGUCAGUGAGGUUUAGCAAAUUUCUCCUAUACAAUGUCAUUGAUUCUAUCCGAUUAUGGGAUAUCAGCUGGUAAGCUGUCAUUUAAGACAUUAGCACGAACAUGUUUUCUUACAUGUGAUGCAAACAGAUGAGAAGACUACACGACUUUGUGAACUGGUGUUUGUCGACAAUUUCUCUAUUCCUUAGAGUUCCAGUUAUAUAUAACAUUUGCUGCACAUCGGGACGUAGAGCAGUUCAAGAAUAUCAUCACAAUAUAUAUGUGUAACUAAUACUCCUAUCACUUUAAAAAAAUAUGCAAUUCCUCUAAGCUGUCUCCAACACAGAUAUAUUUGAGAGUUCAGACCUACUUUAGUCUAAUGUACUCUUAAUCAAUUGAUCAUUUCUUCAAAGACAGAGCAAAAUGUAAAAUAUUACUAAUUGUAUCCGAAUGAUAUGUGUGAGCUCAUUAUGUAAUAAAAUAAUACUUUUUGAGUUCAGUUACGCUCUGGGGCACAUGGUGCAACAUCAAUGUACUAUCACUUAUGGGUUAGUCCGUUAUACAAUAACAUGUGCUUUAUAUUGUUUGCUAUAUUUACUACUACCUCUGAUAUAAAUUAGUUGUCAUAGUUUCAAUAGAUUUAGGCAAUAUUUUGCCUAAAUAUGUGACAAUUAAUUUGGAUCGGAGGAAGUAAUUUUUAGAUAUACGUCUAAGUUGUAAGCCUAGCGAUGACCCGCUUCCUGAGCGCCUCCUCCGCAAGCUUGAGAUAUUCCGAGUAAUAUGGAGCCCAAGUAAAAUCUCACAUUUUAUUAUCUAUGGGGAUUUAAAUUGUGCUCAACAUUUAGCAAGUUGAAGACUUUGUUGCUCGGCAAAUGGUAGGCCUCGCCAUCCCACUGUCCCAAGUGACCUCAUUGUGUUAGGUUGCUUCCUCCAGCACUCAACAAUACUGGACAAGCUUACACUCCAGCUUUCAAGCGUAAUAUAUAUUUUAUAGCUUCAUAAAUAUGUGUUACUGAAGUUUAUUACCAUCCAUGAUAGAUUAAUGUUAUAAAAUAUUUUAGUGCUUUUAGGUAGCUAAAGUUCCAGCGCAAAUAAGAAGUUAUAAUUCAUUAGAACAAUCAUUUAAAAACAGCCAAAUGAAGAUAGUUGAGAUGAAAAUAGCUACAACAGGCUAAAAGUCAUCUCGAGGAAAUUUCUGUAUCACUGGGAUGGGUAUAAACUUACUUUUACAUGAAAUUUAUCACUAGGUAUAUUUCUUCAUUUUUAAUUCCAUCUAUUCUCUCCAUGCAAGAUUCUUAGGAUUUCUCUAUCUUCAGAUAACCUGCAACAAUGCUUAUCUCCAGCUAUCAUCUCUGUAAACUGAAAUUGUCCAUCCUAUAAUUAAUUUGUUGUAAGUGGUUACAUAUAUCUCAAGAGAUUGUCUGAGUAGCCCGACGGUGUAGUUACUGUUGAAAUUGAUCUUCUGUUCUUUGAAAAGGAUGGCAAUUGAUUUCUGUAAAUCUGCAUUUGAUCACUGUGACAUUUACUGUUAUGAGAAUUCAGCAAAGCUACCAAGUCUAUACCUUCUGCCUUAUCCUACCAUCUGAAUUUUUGAGGAUACUACAAAUGUAGGUGGGGUUCCUCACAGAAUAUUACUCUACCUUAUGCUACAAAAGCUUGGUGUUUCAAAGGCUGAAUACCAUCUUAAACUAUGCGAAGAUAGCAAAGUUCGUGUGACCUUUUGAUACCUCUACCUUACCACUUGAAGGUACCACUAUGCACAUGAGGGUGUGUGUGGAAUCCAAUCUACAGUUUAUGAAAUAGCAGAAGAUUCUGUAUCAGAGAUUUCAACUACAUUCAGCUCACAAGACUGGAAGAACAGAAUAAAUCCCUACUAGGUCAGCUUAUACAAUCAAAUGAAUUCAAGAAACAACUUGUGAGAGGAUGGUUAUUUCUCCGAAAAUGAUGGUUGUGUAUCUUAACCACUCGAAAUAAGAUAGCCAUAUAGACAAGGUUCGGAACACUCUCCUGGUCAACUUUCAGGAUUAGACUUAAACAUGCAGGCAGAGUUUUGUAGAGACCUCUAUAGCCUCUCCAGUAUGGCCAUUUUGUACUUUUUAAGUACUGCAUGUCAUAACCUUGUUGUUUGGUUUAUUAGACUAUGCAACUUCAGUAAUUGUAGCCACAAAUUAUCACAGAUUAUUAUAAAGUAUUUUCCCUAUAUCUUUCUCCUGGCUUUUUAUCGGCUUCGUUUCUUAAAAUCUAAGACACGUAUUAUCAGUUAUCGUUAUACAAAGUAUACAUUAGCAUGAGUU